rnacentral:lncRNA from 1 species
UAUUUAAUUCAUUAUGAAAAAAUAAAAUCGAAUCGAAAAUCGAGAUUGAUCAACAUGGGGAAAAUAAUCGUGAUUAUUUUUUUUCCUAAAUCGUCCAGCCCUUCUCUGUAUAGUUUUAGUAUCAUUCCUCCUGCUGUGUAAAUUACUGAAGCAGCAACACUUAAUGUGACAGAACCCAAAUCCUUAUCACACAUUUUCUUGCUCUGUAUAAAUAGUAUAAGAAGGUCACGAGCUCAACAGUAAAAUCCCUUUCCAAAUAUUCCCGUACAUUUUUCAAACAUUAUGAAUAUUAAGAAUCUAAAGGCAUGAUGGAGGCUGAUCAGCUAAGUUCAGCGACUGGAUUCCCGGCGUGGAAUAUUCACACUGAUCAUAGCGUGAAUAAUUUCAAAGAAAGCUUUUAUGCAGAUACCACAGAUUUUCCAAGUAUCGGGGUUUACCUAGACCAAACCUAUCCGAUACAUGCAGACAAUAAAACCCAUAGAAUCAAGCAGCAUACGUCACAGUGCAUAGAUUUUGUUUCAUCUGCGUAAUGAUCAUAGGUUUGGGCAUAUUUUUACAGGCUUUUUUACUGUUUUUAUUCACUUGCUGUGGUAUCAGACUGGUACUCGGUAUCGGCGACAGUAUGAACCCAAGUAUUGGAUCAGACAACACUAUUAAAGGAAUAGGCCGCCGUUUUUCCAUACUGAGAUAUGUUCUUACCUGAGCUUAGAUGAGUUGAUACCAUAGACAUAUUAUUAAUAGACCGUCAUUACUCACUCCUCCCCGUUUACCAUAAUGACCACGUUCGAGGGGGAAAUCAUGGCGGAUUUACAGACUCCUCCUCCCCAGCUCUGACGAAGCAUGUUCCUAAUAAGGGCAUAAGGGCGGGAUCUUCACUGUAGACUCGGCCCUUGCGUGACGUGUAGCUCGCGCAGCUCCAAUGCUAACAGUCCGACCCCCGUUAAGUAUGAGAUUUCUAAAAUGUAUCCUACGAUAACCAGCCCGGUGCCUCUGAUUGUGUCUAACCCAGCGUAAUCACAGGAGGAAUAUCUAGCUGUAGACAGUUCCAAAAAAUUAGGCACCGAGCAUUAAAGUUGUUUUUAACGUGUCUAAAGUGCAAUGGAUUCCAAUGGGGGACUAG